ACCCCUAGAAGCUAAGCGAUUGAAGAAAACCGAAACCUAAUGGAUUAAAAGCAAAGGGAAGGUGAGGCAAAGAUGCAUGGCUCUUCGGUCGGUACAGAUAGUUCCAAAAGCAGCUCGAAAUUGAUACGAAACAGCAGUUGAAGCCUGAAAUGUGACCGAAAAUUGAGGUCAUGAGCAAGAAAACUAAAGCAGAGACCCAGGAUUUGAGGACUAAGGUAUCGAAGAGAAUAAUGGCUUGCCUGAUUCACAUGGAUUUGGCCACAAUUCAUAGAUUUGUUCUCUGGACUAGGGAGAUGAAGAAAUGUAGAAGUAAGGAAAUGAAGAAGAAAGAGUGGGUGUGACGCAGGCCGUCGCCUCAAUUCAUGCCACUUUAUUGCAUGAUCA
rnacentral:lncRNA from 1 species